rnacentral:hammerhead_ribozyme from 1 species
AUCUAGCUGACCAGUCCGAAAUAAGACGAAAACAUGCGUCAUGGAU